ACUGAUUUGGCAGAAUUAAGUGCAUUAAAUUUAGAAUUUAUAUAUAUAAUUUAUUUUAUAUUCAGUA
rnacentral:tRNA from 1 species